GAACUGAGUGACACGUGACUGGUCUGUGGUUGUUAUGGUAACGGUCAACACAUAAAACUCACUGACGGAGUAACGGUAAGAUACAUGCAUGUUUCUUGAGGAAACGUCAAAAUAAACAUUACUUCUAACCCGUCUAACACAUAGUUGAACCUUCAGUUGAUGUUAUUUAGAUGACAUUGUGCAAUAACUUACACUUUUCGCUAAUGAUUGCCUUUUCCUGGUUGCCAAAAAAUAGUUUAAGAUGCAAACAUUUCUUGAUUAAUUUCGGUGUUACAAUUACAGUGCCCCGGAAUUUGCUAGUUUUGUUGAAAGUUUAGAAUUGGCCGGCCCUAAAUUAGAUUAGUUGUACACGCGGAAGAGCAGAUAGGAUAGCACUGGUCACGUGGUGUGCCCAGUAGUAAGCCACAUUAGGUUUACUCCUGCAGUUCUGCACUGUUAAAUUAUCUCUGUUACUACAGCGUGUGAGAAUGUGGCCCCUGCAGCAGAGAAAGAUGUUUCAACUCGUCGCAAUCCUGCUCGGGUGUUUGGUUUAUUCUGGUUCCUCUGCUGCCGUCGCUAGUGCAACAGAGAUAAAGAUAGACGUGGCUGAAGCGUGUACUGAUAAGGAGGACGGCUGUGCAGGGUGGGCUAGUGAUGACUACUGUCAAACUCAGCGUGAUCUCAUGUCCUACUACUGUCCGUCUACCUGUGGCUUCUGCAACACUGUACAAGAGGCGACAGAUAUAAUGACAGAGAUAGUGGAAAGUAUGGUGGAAGCUACUGAUCCCUCAACUAACAGGGGGUCAUACGUGGACACCAGUGAUGAAAAAAACUACGAUUACAAUUCUGAUAACGAUAACGGUAGCAACGACUACGAAGCUAACUACGAAGCUAACUACGAAGCUAACUACGACUCCGACUAUGACUCAGGCUACGAGGUGAAGUCAGACACAGUAACUCCAGCAAUAACUAACCAAUGUGCAGGGGAGAUAAGGAACGGGGAGUUGAAGGACAUGACACCCAGCAGUUACGGUUCUGUGGAGUGCACGGAGGGCUUCACUAGAACUGGACCUUAUUACAUCUACUGUAACGAACAAGGUAUAAUAACGGGAGACCUGCCUACUUGUGAGAGGAAAUGUAGCGAUAUAAAGAUAGAGGGAGGAAACAUAGAACCUCCCGAGAAUGAGAAGCAAGGAUGGUUAUAUGUUUCGUGUAACGAAGGUAAAAGCCUGGAAGGUAAAGCGUGGAACUGGUGUGACAGAGGUGUGGUGGAUGUGAUUCCCAAAUGUGUGGGAGGAGAAACUACCAGCGAGGAGCAGAUCAUCUCCCCAGACAACACUGCCUCUGAGGUAGACUACGAUACAAACUACAAGGAGGAUGAGGAGGAGUACACUGAGAAGAAGGAGGAGGAGGUAGGGGGAGCGUACGGAGGCUGUCCUCUGGAAGAGGUGGAGAAUGGAAUGUGGACUGACCCGUACCAGAGCAGUACUUACUGGAUACUAGAGUGUAACACUGGGUAUGUGAAGAACGGAGGGGACAGCUACGUUUACUGUGAUGACAAGAAAGAAGUGACGGGAGUAGCUCCUCAGUGUGAGGAAGACAAGUGUGCAAACGCAAAGGUGGAGAACGGAGUGGUGACUACUUCAGGGACCGGGGCUUGGAUAUGGGUCAAGGUUAGAACCUAACAGAAACAAAUACCUUAACUGUCUAGCUGUAACUGAUAAUUAUUGAUUCGAUAACUGUUAGAUUUUGUCUGGUAGUGACGGGACCUACUGCAGUAGCACUGACGGUGCAUUAUCUGCUCCUCUCGGUACCUGCAACAUGUGAUAUUAUGUAGUGACGGGACCUACUGCAGUAGCACUGACGGUGCAUUAUCUGCUCCUCUCGGUACCUGCAACAUGUAAUAAUGUAACAUAUACUCUGGGACAUGUAAUAAUGUAACAUUCCUGGACAUAUAAUAACAGGUUUCACAUCGAACCUGUACAAUUUAAUAAAGAUGAUUGACUUUUGACAAAAGAAAGAGUUUCGUUAAAAUCACCUAGUUUGUGUUGGUGCAUUAUUAAGAAAAGAAGUUUUCACCGGUUGAACAACCUUUUAGUUUUAUGCGUUUUGGUAAGAUACGGAAAUAUUGUUAUUUUGGGAUAGAUUUUAUAUGUUUUUUAGAAUUAUCACAUUAAUGAAUGGAAGUACAUCAUU